UACGAAGGGUGCAAGCGUUACUCGGAAUUACUGGGCGUAAAGCGUGCGUAGGUGGUUCGUUAAGUCUGCCGUGAAAGCCCCGGGCUCAACCUGGGAAUGGCGAUGGAUACUGGCGGGCUAGAGUGCGGUAGAGGAGAGUGGAAUUCCCGGUGUAGCAGUGAAAUGCGUAGAGAUCGGGAGGAACAUCAGUUGCGAAGGCGGCUCUCUGGACCAGCACUGACACUGAGGCACGAAAGCGUGGGGAGCAAACAGG
rnacentral:rRNA from 1 species